rnacentral:rRNA from 1 species
UACGUAGGGUGCAAGCGUUGUCCGGAAUUAUUGGGCGUAAAGAGCUCGUAGGCGGUCUGUCACGUCGGCUGUGAAAACCCGAGGCUCAACCUCGGGCCUGCAGUCGAUACGGGCAGACUAGAGUUCGGUAGGGGAGACUGGAAUUCCUGGUGUAGCGGUGAAAUGCGCAGAUAUCAGGAGGAACACCGGUGGCGAAGGCGGGUCUCUGGGCCGAA